rnacentral:rRNA from 1 species
AUACGUAGGUGACAAGCGUUAUCCGGAUUUACUGGGCGUAAAGGGCGUGUAGGCGGUCUUGCAAGUCAGAAGUGAAAUUCCUGAGCUCAACUCGGGCGCUGCUUCUGAAACUGCAGGACUUGAGUGCUGGAGGGGAUAGCGGAAUUCCUAGUGGAGCGGUAAAAUGCGCAGAUAUUAGGAAGAACACCGGUGGCGAAGGCGGCUAUCUGGACAGUAACUGACGCUGAGGCGCGAAAGCGUGGGGAGCAAACAGGAUUAGAUACCCUGGUAGUCCACGCUGUAAACGAUGAAUACUAGGUGUAGGGGGUAUCGACUCCCUCUGUGCCGCAGUUAACACAAUAAGUAUUCCACCUGGGGAGUACGGCCGCAAGGUUGAAACUUAAAGGAAUUGACGGGG